rnacentral:lncRNA from 1 species
GAGAUUAGGUCGUGCGAUGUUUGUGGCUCGUUUGACGAGCGAUUCGCUUGUGUAGAAGAUUUUGUUCUUGUGAAGACGGAAACAGUAGCGACUUGGGUUUGAAUCGGGUCCUUCGUGUGAAGGAUUUUCGACCAUGUUCUUUAGGUUGUUGCCAACGAAUUUGAAGAGCUUUUCGAAUACUACGCUCGUUUCUGUUUCGUCUAAAGGUCUCAUCUUUUUCUCUCUUACUGUGUUUCUUCUCUGUGAAUUUCAGUUUCUAGGGUUUUAAGACAGUGCUUUGAGUUUGGAAUUGGGGUUUUUGCCUUUUCCGUUAUUUGGAUUUUAUUUUGCGAUAAAAAAUUGGGUUUAAUUCUAAUGGACAUCGUAUGUUAAUGGGCCUCCCAAGGAGAUGACCCAAUGAUGUUGACGGUCUCUGUUACUGGAGCCACUUUUCCCACCCCCUAUAUUAUGAAGAAAAAAUAGUGAUUAUUUUUAACUAGCUUGUGGUGAAAAUGUUACCAACAUUUCAUUGAUCUUAGUAGAACUAGACACAGAUAUCUUUAGUAGUGUCGAAAUGGAGUUGAAACUUGGAAUGAGAAACCCACUAAAUGUAUGUGGACAUUUCACAUGAAUAUUAAAAAAAAAAAAAAAAAAUAGAGUAUAUUUUUGUAUAAGUCUAAUAUAUCAUGAGUAGUAAGCCAUAAAAAUAAAAUUUGUUCUUGUGAAGACGGAAACAGUAGCGACUUGGGUUUGAAUCGGGUCCUUCGUGUGAAGGAUUUUCGACCAUGUUCUUUAGGUUGUUGCCAACGAAUUUGAAGAGCUUUUCGAAUACUACGCUCGUUUCUGUUUCGUCUAAAGGUCUCAUCUUUUUCUCUCUUACUGUGUUUCUUCUCUGUGAAUUUCAGUUUCUAGGGUUUUAAGACAGUGCUUUGAGUUUGGAAUUGGGGUUUUUGCCUUUUC